rnacentral:rRNA from 1 species
GGUUAAGCGACUAAGCGUACACGGUGGAUGCCCUGGCAGUCAGAGGCGAUGAAGGACGUGCUAAUCUGCGAAAAGCGUCGGUAAGGUGAUAUGAACCGUUACAGCCGGCGAUGUCCGAAUGGGGAAACCCAGUGUGAUUCGUCACACUAUCGUUAACUGAAUACAUAGGUUAACGAGGCGAACCGGGGGAACUGAAACAUCUAAGUACCCCGAGGAAAAGAAAUCAACCGAGAUUCCCCCAGUAGCGGCGAGCGAACGGGGAGCAGCCCAGAGUCUGAAUCAGCUUGUGUGUUAGUGGAACGGUCUGGAAAGUCCGACGGUACAGGGUGAUAGUCCCGUACACCAAAAUGCACAGGCUGUGAACUCGAAGAGUAGGGCGGGACACGUGGUAUCCUGUCUGAAUAUGGGGGGACCAUCCUCCAAGGCUAAAUACUCCUGACUGACCGAUAGUGAACCAGUACCGUGAGGGAAAGGCGAAAAGAACCCCGGCGAGGGGAGUGAAAAAGAACCUGAAACCGUGUACGUACAAGCAGUGGGAGCACCUUCGGGUGUGACUGCGUACCUUUUGUAUAAUGGGUCAGCGACUUAUAUUCUGUAGCAAGGUUAACCGUAUAGGGGAGCCGCAGGGAAACCGAGUCUUAACUGGGCGUUAAGUUGCAGGGUAUAGACCCGAAACCCGGUGAUCUAGCCAUGGGCAGGUUGAAGGUUGGGUAACACUAACUGGAGGACCGAACCGACUAAUGUUGAAAAAUUAGCGGAUGACUUGUGGCUGGGGGUGAAAGGCCAAUCAAACCGGGAGAUAGCUGGUUCUCCCCGAAAGCUAUUUAGGUAGCGCCUCGUGAACUCAUCUUCGGGGGUAGAGCACUGUUUCGGCUAGGGGGUCAUCCCGACUUACCAACCCGAUGCAAACUACGAAUACCGAAGAAUGUUAUCACGGGAGACACACGGCGGGUGCUAACGUCCGUCGUGAAGAGGGAAACAACCCAGACCGCCAGCUAAGGUCCCAAAGUCAUGGUUAAGUGGGAAACGAUGUGGGAAGGCACAGACAGCCAGGAUGUUGGCUUAGAAGCAGCCAUCAUUUAAAGAAAGCGUAAUAGCUCACUGGUCGAGUCGGCCUGCGCGGAAGAUGUAACGGGGCUAAACCAUGCACCGAAGCUGCGGCAGCGACACUAUGUGUUGUUGGGUAGGGGAGCGUUCUGUAAGCCUGCGAAGGUGUGCUGUGAGGCAUGCUGGAGGUAUCAGAAGUGCGAAUGCUGACAUAAGUAACGAUAAAGCGGGUGAAAAGCCCGCUCGCCGGAAGACCAAGGGUUCCUGUCCAACGUUAAUCGGGGCAGGGUGAGUCGACCCCUAAGGCGAGGCCGAAAGGCGUAGUCGAUGGGAAACAGGUUAAUAUUCCUGUACUUGGUGUUACUGCGAAGGGGGGACGGAGAAGGCUAUGUUAGCCGGGCGACGGUUGUCCCGGUUUAAGCAUGUAGGCUGAUUAUCCAGGCAAAUCCGGAUAAUCAAGGCUGAGGUGUGAUGACGAGGCACUACGGUGCUGAAGUAACAAAUGCCCUGCUUCCAGGAAAAGCCUCUAAGCAUCAGGUAACAUUAAAUCGUACCCCAAACCGACACAGGUGGUCAGGUAGAGAAUACCAAGGCGCUUGAGAGAACUCGGGUGAAGGAACUAGGCAAAAUGGUGCCGUAACUUCGGGAGAAGGCACGCUGGUGUGUAGGUGAAGUCCCUGCGGAUGGAGCUGAGACCAGUCGAAGAUACCAGCUGGCUGCAACUGUUUAUUAAAAACACAGCACUGUGCAAACACGAAAGUGGACGUAUACGGUGUGACGCCUGCCCGGUGCCGGAAGGUUAAUUGAUGGGGUUAUCCGUAAGGAGAAGCUCUUGAUCGAAGCCCCGGUAAACGGCGGCCGUAACUAUAACGGUCCUAAGGUAGCGAAAUUCCUUGUCGGGUAAGUUCCGACCUGCACGAAUGGCGUAAUGAUGGCCAGGCUGUCUCCACCCGAGACUCAGUGAAAUUGAACUCGCUGUGAAGAUGCAGUGUACCCGCGGCAAGACGGAAAGACCCCGUGAACCUUUACUAUAGCUUGACACUGAACAUUGAGCCUUGAUGUGUAGGAUAGGUGGGAGGCUUUGAAGCGUGGACGCCAGUCUGCGUGGAGCCAACCUUGAAAUACCACCCUUUAAUGUUUGAUGUUCUAACGUUGGCCCCUGACCGGGGUUGCGGACAGUGUCUGGUGGGUAGUUUGACUGGGGCGGUCUCCUCCCAAAGCGUAACGGAGGAGCACGAAGGUUAGCUAAUCCUGGUCGGACAUCAGGAGGUUAGUGCAAUGGCAUAAGCUAGCUUGACUGCGAGCGUGACGGCGCGAGCAGGUGCGAAAGCAGGUCAUAGUGAUCCGGUGGUUCUGAAUGGAAGGGCCAUCGCUCAACGGAUAAAAGGUACUCCGGGGAUAACAGGCUGAUACCGCCCAAGAGUUCAUAUCGACGGCGGUGUUUGGCACCUCGAUGUCGGCUCAUCACAUCCUGGGGCUGAAGUAGGUCCCAAGGGUAUGGCUGUUCGCCAUUUAAAGUGGUACGCGAGCUGGGUUUAGAACGUCGUGAGACAGUUCGGUCCCUAUCUGCCGUGGGCGCUGGAGAAUUGAGGGGGGCUGCUCCUAGUACGAGAGGACCGGAGUGGACGCAUCACUGGUGUUCGGGUUGUCAUGCCAAUGGCACUGCCCGGUAGCUAAAUGCGGAAGAGAUAAGUGCUGAAAGCAUCUAAGCACGAAACUUGCCCCGAGAUGAGUUCUCCCUGAGACUUUAAGUCUCCUGAAGGAACGUUGAAGACGAUGACGUUGAUAGGCCGGGUGUGUAAGCGCAGCGAUGCGUUGAGCUAACCGGUACUAAUGAACCGUGAGGCUUAACCUU